GACGUAGGGUCCGAGCGUUGUCCGGAGUUACUGGGCGUAAAGAGCUCGUAGGCGGUCUGUCGCGUCGGCUGUGAAAACCCGGAGCUCAACUCCGGGCCUGCAGUCGAUACGGGCAGACUGGAGUUCGGCAGGGGAGACUGGAAUUCCUGGUGUAGCGGUGAAAUGCGCAGAUAUCAGGAGGAACACCAAAGGCGAAGGCAGUGUCCUGGCUGGUACCUGACGCUCAGGUGCGAAAGCUAGGGGAGCGAACGGG
rnacentral:rRNA from 1 species